AAACCAUGCACCGGGUAUAUUCUUAGUAGCUCUUUAAAUCACUCCCAUGCUUCAUAUAAUGUUUCAUUCUUUGGUUGUCUAAACAAUGUAAUAUCGUUCCUAAACUU
rnacentral:snoRNA from 1 species